ensembl:lncRNA
AUUUAUUAAUUGAAAUUCUAUAGAAAGAGUUGUCCGCUCAUUUAUUAUAUCGAUUUGAACCCAUGGGUUUUUAUUCAGUGGGUUAUAAUACUAUUAUUUUCUCAAUAUUAUAAUGAUGUACACACGUACAAAAUAACAUAAUUUUUUUUUUUAAAGGGGAAGGGUCUUCUCUAAUGCUCUCGAUCUCUGGGACUUUUUGUGGAGUUCUCUCUUGCAGGCCGGAACCUUUGCUGGACUCUCAGGCUGUUCGGGGAAAUUUUAGGCGGUGAUACCUAUGAGCGGACUGGCAACCAAUAGAUACGAGCGUGGGUCUAGGGGACUGAGGGGAGGAAGGAAGGGGGGGAAAUGGAAGGGUGAGGGUGAAGCCACGUUGCUGCGCAGCCCAUGGGAGCCCAGUCUUCUCUCUCUCCCACCCCCUUGGCUCAUUCUCCCACGCUUCGGUGUCCAAGACCUGGGAGCUGCCCGGCGCCCAGCCUGCACCGAGAGAGAUGGAGGAGCCGGGGUCCCGCGAAGGUGAGCGGGGCUGCGACACUGCGGAUGUCCCCGAACAGUGGGGCACUGUGAGUGUGGGGACAGGUUCGGUGACACAGUCUGGGCUUAGAAAAAUCCAGUCUGAGGGGGAUAUUGAGUCAGAGCCCUCCAGUUGGCCAGGAAUUCAGACAUGGCCAGAGAGUAUUCUUGGCUAGUCUAUUUCUGUUUUCCUUCCAACGAAGCCAAACCUAAACCGUAGAAUUACCAUUUUAGAGAUUAAAGGGAACAGGGGCAGGGGCGGCCCUUUCUAGAAAGGGCUAUAUGGGUCCUAGAGAGUCCCGAGCAGAAACUUAGGAGACCCAAAUCUAGGUCCAGGUUUGCUGCUACUGACUUAAGUGGCCUAGUUAAAGCUUAUUCCCCUCCGUGGGCCUGAGUUUUCCCUUGUACAGUGAGAGGAUCUCCAAAGGCCUGACAAAGGAUGGGUGCUCUUUAAAUAUUAGUUGUUAGGAAUAAAUAAAUGAGUUAGGGAGGCCUCCUUCUGGGGUUCACUGGAGGCUGCCUGCUGUACUGAAUUAAUUGGAGUCUUUGGAAUUACGUUGUUCUUUUAUGCUAAGAAAUAGGUGGCAUCAUCCUCAUUACAAGUGAGAAAACGGAGGCUUAAAGACAAUGUGACUUGCUAGUAACUGUCCAAGCACAUCACACCUCAAAGUCCAGGCUACACUAUACUCUCUACCAGUUAGAGAGCAGGGAGGAUUAUAUGGAGUAACAAUGAAUAAAUUAAGUUCUCAGCUAAAAUGAACAACUCCAAAGCAGAACUGUAUCUAAUUUUUCUCUAUUCUUAGUUCCCAGUAUAUGGUUUGUGUGAAACAGUUUGGGUUUCAAUGCCAGAGUAAUCAUCUAUGCUACUUACCCCUGCUGUCACUUUGAUCAAUAUAACCAUAAUUAACAAAAAGUAGUGAUAGUGACUCUAAUUGUUAUAGUGAUAGCAAAGCCAUAAGUGAAACUGUAAAGACAUCAAAAGUUAAAAUACUUUUAUUUAUAUGUUGCUUUAAAGUUUAUAAAGCACUUUUGGGUAGUUUUCCAUAUUGGUCAUCUUAUAUAGAUAAUAUCCACAUUUUACAAGCAUAGGAAUCCCAAGACCUAAGAUUAAGGGACUAGCACAGGGUCACAUGGAAGUAUAGGUGAGACAUGAAUCAAGCCCCAUAUGAGAGGCUGUGCUUCUGCUUCCGUGCGCUCCCCACUUCCUCUCCCUUUCCUUUUCCUAGUUGCUCCUCCCCACUCCAUGCCUAUCCUGUGCUUUAUUAUUAUCACCCAGAGAAUUCCUGGGUGUUAACUCAUAAUCACUUGUUAACUCAUCAUUAUAGUGUGGUGUUCACUCAUAAUUAAUGUGUGGGCUUAUGAGAGUUUAAAUAUGAUCUUUCCCAGAGGUGUGGAAAGGUUUAAAUACUUUUAAGAAAGAGAAUGGUAACUAUUAUCAUCAUUAUCAUCACCAUACACAGGUUCAAGGAAUAAAACUACCCUUGACCAACACAGGUUUGAACUGCAC